AAUACGGCAAGGCCUCAGUUUGAGAUUUUCCCGUAACGACCUCACUCUCGGUUAUUAAGUAGUUAAUAUCGCCUUGGUGUCAUCAGCAUACUGUAAAAGUUUCGUUUCUUGCUCUUCUCCGGUAUAAAUUCCUUUAAUGUCCGAAUUCUGUCAACUUGAACAAUAAUCAACUAAGUGAGUCUUAAGUUUGGCUUUACUAACUAAUUGUGUCAUUUUGAUAAAUCAAGUCAGCAGUUUAAUUUAUCGCUGCCAUUAGGUGAAGCUACAUAAUGGAUUUCAACAAUUUCCUGCUGUGUUUAACAUUCAAGAUCUUGAAGUGGAAGAUUUUCAUAAUGGUGAUUUAUCACAAGAUGACGAUGAGGAAGAAGAUCUUCUUUCCGAAAGACCACUACAUGAGGUGUACCANUUGU